rnacentral:rRNA from 1 species
UUCCAGACUCCUACGGGAGGCAGCAGUGGGGGAUAUUGCACAAUGGGGGAAACCCUGAUGCAGCAACGCCGCGUGAGUGAAGAAGGUCUUCGGAUUGUAAAGCUCUGUUCUUGGUGAAGAUAAUGACGGUAGCCAAGGAGAAAGCUCCGGCUAACUACGUGCCAGCAGCCGCGGUAAUACGUAGGGAGCGAGCGUUGUCCGGAUUUACUGGGUGUAAAGGGUGCGCAGGCGGCUCUGCAAGUCAGGCGUGAAAGCUAGGGGCUCAACCCCUAAAUUGCGCUUGAAACUGUGGAGCUUGAGUGAAGUAGAGGCAGGCGGAAUUCCCGGUGUAGCGGUGAAAUGCGUAGAUAUCAGGAGGAACACCGGCGGCGAAGGCGGCCUGCUGGACCGUGACUGACGUUGAGGCUCGAGAGCGUGGGGAGCAAACAGGAUUAGAUACCCCCGUAGAA